rnacentral:rRNA from 1 species
UACGUAGGUGACAAGCGUUGUCCGGAUUUACUGGGCGUAAAGGGCGCGCAGGCGGUCGAUCAAGUCGAGUGUGAAAGCCCCCGGCUCAACUGGGGAGGGUCAUUCGAUACUGAUCGACUUGAGGAGAGCAGAGGUGAGUGGAAUUCUCGGUGUAGUGGUGAAAUGCGUAGAUAUCGAGAGGAACACCAGCGGCGAAGGCGGCUCACUGGGCUCCACCUGACGCUGAGGCGCGAAAGCGUGGGGAGCGAACCGG